rnacentral:rRNA from 1 species
AAUGGCAGGUCAGCAUACUGCCGUGAAUACGUUCCCGGGCCCUUGUACACACCGCCCGUCACACCAUGAGAGUUGGGAAUACCCGAAGCCUGUGAGCUAACUUAUAGAGGCAGCAGUCGAAGGUAGAAUCAAUGAUUGGGGUGAAGUCGUAACAAGGUAAC